UUUUACAAGUUUAUUUUCAUUCAGGACAUGUCAGUAUUCCUUUUUAUUGUUUCAUUUUACUCUUGUAAGAUGUUGCUGGAAGUUAAUUUCAUUCACCAUGCCACCUCCAUGCUUUCCCACUUCGGUCUCUUCUCUCAAUCUACUACUUGUUUAAUCCUUCUUCCUAUCUGGCAGUCACGGUAACAAGAACCAGAGGAUCACUGUCACCCUCCUCAGAAGCAACCUUUGCAUGGGAGGCAGGAAACUUCGUCCUUACCUCGAGAGAGCAUGGGGGGGGAUGUGUGUUAAGGGGGAGGACUCUACUCUGCCUUCCUCCUCCUCUGCUGAUGAAAAUGGCAGCUCAGCUUGAUAGACUAUAACUCAUAUCAGUGUUCCUUGGGGGAGAGAAUGGACAAAAGAGGAAGAAGACAUUAAAAAAGAACAGAUCAUAACGCAGAAAGCUAAUCCUGACUGAGGCUUGCCAUUUCCCCCUCAGACGUGCUAAGAGAGAAUAUGGCAGAAAAGAACAAGAGUGAAGUUAUACCAUUUAACCAAUGAUCAAUUUUUGAUCCUACUCCCUUUUAAAAUUACUGUAGCAGUCCUAAAGGUCCAACAGGGAGGCAUAAAAGAGGUGGUGCUGUUUGCUAUUAGGCAAAUAAACAUACAAAAUCCAUUUAAACUUGCGAACCCCAAAUGUACUUCAGUGAAACUAUGCUGUUUAAUGAGAAUACAUUAGAGAAAGUAAUCUAAUGGAUAAGUGAUACACUAAAGAUUAGUAAUUCUGUCCAGCUUCAUUGUAUGAAAGUAGGUGCAGAUACAACAAACUGGAUUGUACUGGCCUCAUGGACAUAAUCACUCCCAAACUACUGCUUCCAAAAAAUGCAAGAAUGAAUUCUAAUUUCCACUUUCCCUUCUUACUGUUUAGAUGGACAUAUUGGGAAGGGGGGGGUGUCAUACAGUUCAAACAUGAGAGAAAUAUUGAUGCUCCCUAGUUUGUGCAUGUGCGUGUGUGUGUGUGUGUGUCUAUUCACACACCUGCAUGUAUGUGUGACCAUGACCAGAUAUUUAAAAGAAAGAGAUACAUAUCCUGCAACAAGAUGGAAGUUAUUUUUUAGAAACAUUUUGUAGGAAAAAAAAUGCCAAAACAAGAUCAAAGACUUCUUGUGUAUAUUGCUUCUGUUAUGCUCUUAUGGAUCUGUGUUCAAUUUUGACUGCUCCUUGCAGGGUUUGUGCUCUGUCUCAGGCUAUAACCUUAUUAAAGUAGCCUUUUUAUUGUCUGUUUUUAUGUUAGCCUUCACAUCACUUGAGCACAAAUGUCAUAGAUGAGGAAAGAGAAGAGAAUGAACUAUAAAAAGAGAAGAAGACACAGCCAUGAGCAGAUACUGAAUAUGGAUUAGCUUUAUUUGUCACUUUACACUGUGUGAGUUUCUGUUACCCACUGGCCUACAGUGAAAUAAUGCUUGUUUAGUCUGAUGUUUCUCUGCAGGGGCACCAAUGUCCUUUCUAAGGGUAGUUAGUCUUGGUUUUCCUUAGUGAGUUUCCAUCGUUACAACAGAAAGUUCUAAACGCCUCCCCCAGGCCCUGUGCUGAAAGCCUGCACUACCUUUCACACCAUCAUGCUAGCCUAGCAUCCAGCCCUGAAUCACAUAGGAACCAUACCUUCCUAGAGAAGCACUGUUCAUGGAAUUACCACAUUCUGCUCAGUUCAGCCCUUUCCUGUGAUUUCUGCCUGGACAUACUCUUGUCUGGCUCUCUAACCAGCACUGGAUUCUCGUGGAGAGGAUGAUUAUCAUUGUAUACUUCUAAAUAUGUAGACAGUUUUCAAAUUAAAAAUAGAUUUAAAAUUAUCUUUAUAUGAUUAUAUUAUUAUAUUUAUAUAAAAAUUGCAACAAUGUAUAAGUAAAAUAUUUUUUAGAAAUAGUAUGAAGGGGACAUAAUAUGAAAGGACCUGAAGACAGGGUGGCCUCCAGUGGCCUUCCUAUAUGCUCAUUUUUCUGAAGCAUGGUACUGUAGAGUCACUGCAGGAUAUGACUGUGAAGACAUUGAGAGUUCCUGUGUUUGAUGGAACCCUAGAUAUGCUUUCUCUUCAGCUCCUCUCCCCACUCUUACCACAGCCAUCCUCAGACACACAACUGUAACCCUACACAAGUGGUGAUGGAGCCUGGGGAAGAAGGCAGGAAAAGCAAAAUCAAUUUUAAGGAGUAUUCUAUUUUUUCUUCUUGAGUCCUUUGUUUUUUCCACUUGUGAGAAAGACUAUAGCAUUUCUUUUCUGUUGAGCUUUGUCUUAGUUGCUUUUUUUGUAUUGCUGUGAAGAGACACUAUGAUCAAGGUAAUGUUGACAGAAGUUUCUGUCCUGCCCAGUCUCACAGCCAUUCAGUCCCAACAAAACACACAGAGACUUAUUAAAUAUUAAUUAUAAAUUGGUUGACCUGUAGCUCAGGCUUAUUAUUAACUAGCUCUUACAACUUAAAUUAACCCAUAAUUCUUAUCCAUGUUUAGCCACAUGGCUUGGUAUCUUACUCAGUGAGGCAUUCUCAUCUUGCUUCCUCUGCAUCUACUGGUGACUGCAGACAGAGCCUUUCUUCUUCCCAGAAUUUUAGUCUGGUUGCCCUGCCUAUACUUCCUGCCUAGUUACUGACCUAUCAGUGUUUUAUUAAACCAAUACAAGUGACAAAUCUUUAUAAGGUACAAGAGCAUUAUCUCACAGCACUUCCUCUUUUUUUCUUUUCAAAACAAGAACUCUGAAUCUAAUCUCUUUUGUUUAGCUUUUUUCCUGACCAUUAUCCAUACCAACUUGUAACCAACACUCCAAACAAAGACAAACAUGGCAGCAUGUAGGCAGGCAUGGUGCAGGAGCAGUAGCUGAGAGCUCACAUCUGCUUCACAAGCAGGAGGGAGGGAGAGAGAAAGAAAGAGCUCUAACUGGGAAUGGUGCAGGGGCAGGGGGUUAAAACUUCAAAGCCCUCCUCUAGUGACUCAUCUCCUCCAACAGGGCCAUACCUCCUAAUCCCAAACUGUUCCCCAACUAGGGACCAAGCAUUCAAAUAUAUGAACCAAUUGGGGCCAUUCUUGUUCAGAACACCACAGUUGCUGUAGCAAAAUACCCUGAAAAAAGAAACUUAAGGGGAAAGGGUUUUUUGGCUCACGGUCUGAGGGUGCAGACUAUUGUGGUAGUCAAGGCAGCGGGAUGUGAGGCAGCUGCUCACACUGUGUUCCCCAGUCAGGAGGAAGUCAGUUGAAGCAUGUUCGCUUGUUUUCCCCUUUUUAUAGUCUGGAAUCUCAGUCCAGGGAAUGCUGCUACCCAGAGUGUGUGUGUUUCCCCUACCUUGGUUAGCUUAAUGAAGAUAAUCCCUAUGAGGAAGUCAGAGCCCAGGUCCUGGGAGAUUGACAGUUGAUCCUAGCCAUCACAAGCUUUCUCCUCUAUCUGGUUGUAUUGUGACCGGUUUUGUCAUUUGCUUGGCCCUGUGUUUUACUUUUUAAUUAACAGAAUGGUUUUUUCGGGGCAAGUUUAGGUUCACAGCAAAAGUGAGUUUAUAGGAUGUAAGUUUUCAUGUCUGCCGUCACUCACUGGCACUACUGUCCUGUCCUGCUGUCAACCAGCAGCACCAUUGUGUGCUUGGAAGCUCUGGGUUUGCACCCUAUUUCAAGUAACAGUAGAAGGGUAGUCCCAGAGGUAGGUAUUAUUUUAGAGAAAGCUAUUCAACAGUUCACUGUAUGUUGACCUUAUCUCCACAUUUUUUCUCUUGAUUGUUUGAAUAUUACAGUGAAGUGGCUUCAUUCAGUAUUGUGCCUUUCAAAUUCCUCAAGUCUUGUAUUUAAGUCUUGAGCAAGUUUUAAUGAUUCAGCCUAUGUUUGGAAAUGGAAGUUAUAGUGCUCAGUUGUUGCUUUGACUUUUCCUGGUUUCAUGGUUAGUGUCUUUAUUUACAUGGCAAUAAUUUAAUUUUCGGUACUGUUGUAUUUCCUUUAUUCUGUGAUGUAAAUAAUUCAAGGCAAAGGUAUAUUUUUCAAAUAAAGAUUUUUAAUUCACUUAUAUGUUGAGGCUAUAUAGAAAGUAAAAGGCAAGUAGAGGAAGAAAGAUGAGAUUAAAAAGUUAAGGAUAAAUAGGUUGUAACAAAAAAGAGCUAAAAAUGAAAAUUCUAGUAAGAAAAACAAGCUAAAUUUUGAUAAAGCAAUAGCAUUAUUUUUAAAACCAAAAAAGGGCAAUUUUACCUAAAUGUUUUCUGUAAAAACUUAAGUAAGAUAGAGAGAAAAGGAAGACAAAGCAUUUCUUUGUGCUUUAUUCUGUGGUCUUGAGAGUUUCUGUAAAACAGCAGCUGCUUCUGCCUUUGCAGCUGUGGGACCCUGUCCUCUCAGAGUUUCUGGGCCCACAGUUCCCCCCCAGACUUUCUCUUCUUACCCCUCUUCCAGAGAAAAUUUAGCUGCUCUUUUUGUUUGUUUCCCACAACUACCAAUAUUAUGACUCAUUCUUCUUCACUUAAAAAAAAAAAUACCUACAUGGGAACAACAUAAGCUAUUUUCUGUUUUCUCAGAAUGGUUACUGAAAUAACACUGCCGUUUUAUAUAAGUCCCCUAUUUAAGUUAGAGACUGACAUAUGGUUGUAAAUAAUUGAGCACGGGCAACUUUGCAACUGGUAGCUAAUAAUCCACCCAAGUCUCCAUCUCUGUGUCCUUUCCUUUGUGUUUGCCGAGGGAUGGCAGCAGCAAGUACAAAGCAUUCUGUGUGCUUUGAAGUACCACAUGAAGGCUGCUGGGUUUAACCAGCCACAGGCUGACUAGUUCUUUAAGAAUUGCUUUGUUAGCUAGCCAGUAAUUGUGUUCUUGAUAAGUUUUAACUAACUAAUAUGACAUUCAAAUGAUAUUCUCCUCUUAAAACAUAAAUUCUGAGUUUUCUUAAUUUGAAAUAAAUGUGCUCAGUUUGUGAGUACUAUCAAGCGUAAGAGCGUGUGUGUUAUACAACACCAGCAGUGUGUCCAGCGUUGCUGUGGACGUCCCUCUAGUACCUGACAUAUUGUUAUUAGAACCAGGAUUUUUAUUUAUUUAUUUAUUUUAAAUUUUUUAUUUUUUUAUUAUUUAUUUUUUUAUUGAAAAAAUUUCCUCCUCCUUCCCGCCUCCCUUUUUCCUCCCCCUCCUCUCACUCCUCUCCCCCUCCCCCCACUCCUCUCCCCCUCCCUCUCCAGACUGAAGAGCAGUCCAGAUUCCCUGCCCUGUGGGAAGUCCAAGGUCCUCCCCCCUCCGUCCAUGUCUAGGAAAGUGAACGUCCAAACUGGCUAGGCUCCCACAAAGCCAGUUCAUUCAGUAGGAUCAAAACCCAGUGCCAUUGUCCUUGGCUUAUCAUCAGCCCUCAUUGUCCGCCAUGUUCAGAGAGUCCGGUUUUAUCCCAUGCUUAUUCAGUCUCAGUCCAGCUGGCCUUGGUGAACUCCCAAUAGAUCAGCCCCACUGUCACAGUGGAUGGGUGCACCCCUCCCGGUCCUGACUUCCUUGCUCAUGUUCUUAGAACCAGGAUUUUUAAAAUGUUGUUUCAUACCUAGUUUCUUACUUCAUCUUGUUAAUGUCAAAACAGAAACUAGAUCUCUCUUGGAUUUCUCAGUUACACACAGAACUGUCUGCAACAGGAAAGUGUCAAUAAUAAAGGAUAAUGAAAAUAUUUCUAAACUAGAUCCUUUGAACAUCACUCUACUUUUGGUCUCUUUUUUAGUGGUGGUAGGGAUUGAAUCCAGGGCUCCCCUGUGCUCUAUCCCUAACCUUUGAGUUUUUGAGGUAGGAUCUCAGUAUGCAGCGCAGGUUGGUCUUAAACACAGAAGUCCCCUCCUUUAGUCUCUCAUGUACCUUUUAAUUAGUAGAUAUUUUUAAUUAGGGCUACUUUUUAAGUAUUUUGACUUAGAAUUUCCAAGAAUUCAACCUUUUAAGUGGUGAAAAAGAAUUUUAAAUAAGAGGUAAUAUGUAUUUUUAUGUUUUCUGACAUGGUGACCAAAAGCAAGUACCUUGAGAAUUUUAGAAUAUUUUACUACUUGGAAGAAUCAGAGUGUGGAAGGGAAGGGUGGAGGGUGGAAGGAGAGUGGGGAAAAAUAUAUAAUACAUUCCUAUCCAAACAAUUAGAAUGAGAAGGAUUUAAAAAAAGAAAGAAAAAAAUCAGGUUAAUACAAUUUAGAUAUAUUAAGUCCAAAAAAAAGAGCAAUUGAAAGUUACUAUGUAAAGCAAUUUGAUUACAGCUUUGAUUUAUAAAAUUGUUUCUAUUUAAUGGAUACCAUGGCACUUAAAACUAAGUGAGAUAGUAUAGUUCAAGAGACUUGUAAUAAUGUUAUAAAAUACCAGAAAAGUCGUUUGUGUCAGAAUUUGCUCAGUGAUUAAGUGUUCUCUUACUAGAUGAAUAAAAAAAGAAAUGAUAAAAAGCUUCAGAGGCUGGGAUAUAGUUCAGUAGAUAAAAUACUUGCCAGGCAAGUCUCAGGAUCAGAGUUCAGAUCCCAGCACCCAUUUAGGCACUAGGUGUGGUGGUGCAGGUCCAUAACUCCAGCCCUAGGAGAUGGGUAUUGAAGAUGGUAGGCUUCUUGGCGCUCGCUGAUGAGCCCUCUGUGUUAGAGAGUUGCGGGUUCAUUGAGAGACCCCUUAAAAAACAAGGUGAAGAAGCAACUGAAGGAGAUAUAUUCCUGAACUCUGGCUUCCACACACAUGUACAUGUGCACACACAUAAACACACAGACACACAAAUGCAGAAGAUACUAUUUGUAUAUGAAAUCAUUUUGUUUAAACUGGCUAGUGCUGUCGACAGUAUUAAUAAGUUUCUAGUGUGUAUAACAUUGAUGAAGCAAGACAGUAGUUACUUUGUAACUGUUGAAAAGAUAAAAAGUCAUAAAUGCAUUUCUAGGAAAAUGUCUUUAAAAUAAUUGUUUAUAAGCAUCUCAGACCACUUAAGACUGUCUUUCUAGAUAGUGGAGAAGAGACACUCAUAAAUCUUGAGAUGGAAUAUUUAUUUUGCGAGUCUGAUUUUAUGAUUUAAUGAGAAAAGGGCUUAAACUGAGGGAAAUGAAAGUUGGUAAGAGUUUUUAAAACAUUUUGAGAAAUAGUGAUAAUUUGAAACUUUGAUGGCAAACUUUAGUAACUGGUUAUUAGAAUCCCUUCUACAUCUCCAAUUAGAAUGUCACAGAUCUAAGCCAGGCCUGGGGGCACCACGAACUGAGAUGGAGCAUCAUGGUGGUCAGGGCCAGCCUGCUCUGCACAGUAAGUUCAGAAGCUCCCUUGCUGCACCGUCUGCUUCUGACUUUCAGGUGUAGCUUUCUGCUCUUGUCCAUCUUCAAUCUUGCCUUGCUCAGGGAGCAGCCCUUUCAGUCGCAGUCCUGGUUUGGUGCUUCCGUGAAGCUUUGAUCUCUUCCUAAGACUACUGGCCCAGGCUAAACCUUGCCACAGAACUUCUUCUUUGUAACUUGGGAUAUACUUGUGUUCAAGUAUAUUAAGCAGUGUAACUUCUGUUGCAUUAAAAUGUUAGUAAAGUAUGCAGCUGGUUGGUCCAUGUGCCUGUUGGCGGCUGCCUUUGCAGUCUGAGUGCAAGUUCCCUACUGCUUCCACCUCACUUUAGAGCAUUCCCACUCCGACUCCCUAGAGUCUUUCCUCCUAACCCUCGAACAUUCGAGAGUCAUUUCUGCCUUAGGACCUUUGACUAGUUCUUUGGGAUGUUUGGCUGAAAUUUGACUAGGAAGAAGGUACCCAUUUGCACCCUUUCUUCUUCCAGAUUGUUCUGUAUCCAGUACCUUUUCAAUAUUCAAAUCUCAAGUGAUUUUUUUACAGAGAAGCCUCCCAAAGUACUCUGAAGUAGCCUUGCCCCCCAUUAGCCUGCUUACUGGCUCCACUAUUUUUAUUUGCAUUUUUCUGCUAUUUCAAAUUUGUUUUUCUACAUAGAAGGAAGAACCGGUAUCUAUUAUGUUUGCCAUUGAUCUCUCAGUGCCUAAAAUGAUGGCUUGCACAUUAUGGGUGCUAGAUACAUUGCAGUUACAUUCAUGGGUGAAUGAACGGAUGACUUGAAAAGUUUUAGGGCGAGCAAUUUGUCCGUCUUUUCUAACUGUUUUAUUGCUGUAUGAAAGCUGGUUUGUGGGGUGGUGUUUGCUCAUCUGCAAUGCUGUCAGUUGUUAGAGUUUUCCUUGUAUUCUCUCACACGUGCAUAUAUUUUCAUCAUUUACCUCACUUCAAUGUUUAGCACUUUGGUUUUGUUUAAUUAACAUUUCAAAUGUUUCUCCAAAUUCUCCUGGUAACUUUAUUAUAGUUAUUUUAAUGGCUACAUAAUAUAUAUUCCGCCUUGAGUUGUUAACUUGUCAUUUACUCACCUGUGUCCAUGUAUCGAAUAAGUUGCUUCUAAUUUCUCCUGUUAUAAAUAAUCCUUUAAGGUACACCCUAGUAAAUACGUAGAGGAUGUUCCUCCAUUUGAUAGAAUAAAAUAUGAUCGUUAAAAGGCAGUAUUAAAGAAUAAGAAUUGCUCAGGCACCUUCUACCAUUUUGUACACGUAUGCAGAAGGAGCUGCAUUAUGGUAACUUGUAGAGGAUGCACAUGGCUGUCUUUGGAAUCUAAAGCUCUUUUCACAAUUACUGUCAAAGCUAUGUGAUGCAGCCCUUCAGCUGUUCUAAGCUGUAGGCUGUUAUUUCACAGAGAGGUUUCAGGAGCUUCAUACCAUACUUUAGCUCAUAAGUUUGAGUACAAAGAUAUGUAAAUUCUCUUAAUAGUUCAAUUGUUUUUCUUAAAAUUGUCACCUUUAGUAAACAGAACAGCCAGAAGGCAAGUAAGAACAGAACCUAGAUGAUCUCAUGAGUGCAGAUAGAAUAGAUAUUUGGAUUUAUGAAAUUAUGUUUGUGAGAAAUCAGUUUUAGUAAUGGUCGUAAUUCACUUCACCUUUUUUCCCCUCAAAAAUCAGAAGAAAUAUUUAGGGUGAAAUUAUUUGAGUUACGUUUGAGGAGAAAAUUGGAAUUAUCUAUUAAAAGUGUACAUGGCCAAGCAUGGUCUGUAGCUCCAGCUGCUCAAGAGGCUGAGGUGGGAGAAUCAGAAGUUCGAGGCCAGACUGGGUUAUCCAACAAGAAUCCAUAUUAAAGUAGACACUGACAAAGGAUAGCAUAGAUAUUCUUAAAUUUUAAAUGUUUAUAAAGUGUGUGUGUUUGUGUGAAUGUAAGUGUGUGUGUGUGUGUGGAAGUAGGGACUUGCGUGCACAUUAGGGGGUCUGAGGACAACUUUGUGGAGCUAGCUCUCCCUUCCACCCUCACAUGGGUUUGGAGUUUCAAACUCAGGUUGUCAGGUUUACGUGGUGAGUGGCUUUACCCGCUGCAUCUUGUCACCUGAGCGAGCACCCCUAUCUCUUCAUCUCCACAGGUGCCUACAAGCUAUGAAACAGUCUCGGAGAAUUUUCUUUUUGGUUAUUUCAAAUUUUUAAUUAUUUGAAGUCAAAUUAAAUAUUUCAAAAAUUUAUACCCAACAAGGUUUUAAAUUAAUUGUAAUUCCUUUUGCAUACAUUUUUAAAUUCCAAAGAAAAGCAACUCUUUUGUUAUCUAAUUAUUAUUCCCUUAAACAUCUUCUACAUAAUUUUCUUACAGAAAGAUUUAAUUACCUCUCUUUAGUUAUAUAUGUCAUUUUUUGGAUAACAAUAAAAAUGAACUGGCUUAUAAAAUAUUUUUGGUGUUAUUAGGCAUUAUAAUAAACCUACAUUUAGAAAUUCCUACUUCAUUUUUCUCAAAGAACUUUUGCUCUUUUGCCAUCUAAAAAUUUUUAUUAUCUUAAGCUGUGUAUUACUUGACUGAAUAAAAGAAAAAAUAACAUUUUCCAAGCUCACCUUUUUCAUAUCUUCUGCAUUUUCAUCUUUACUUAUUUAAAGAAUAAUUUUAUCUUGCAAUAGAGAUUUGUUCAGUUCAUUUAAAAAAUAAAUUUUCAGGCUCUCGGGAGAUGAAUCAGUGGUUUGGAGGACUGGCUGCUCUUCCAGGGGACCCAGGUUCAAUUCCCAGCAUCCACAUAGAUGCUCACAACCAUUCCUAACUCCAGUUUCAGUGGACUAGAAGCCCUCUUCUGGUCCACAGAGCACUGUGCAAAAAAGUAGUGCAUAUGCACACACGCAGGCAAAAUAACUACACAUAUAGAAUAAGCAUUUUUUUAAAAAAAAAAUUAAAGAAAAAAUAACCAAAAAGAUUUAUUGUCUACUAUAUACAAGUUACUUUCCCAGUAUUAGGUAUUUAGCGCUGGCCAGACCAAAAAUCAGUGUCACUGUGGAAUAUACAACUAGGUAGACAAGGUGAUUGUAGCUUGUUAUAAGUAGUUUUCUAAAAGAAACAGAAUCAGGGAGAGGCGUUAUGGAAUAUGAGGAUGUUGAGACAGGGAAGUCUGCAUUGGAAAGUCUUCUGAAGAAGUAAGGUGUGCCCCUCAACUGUUGGGGAAAUCCAGGGCCAGUCCAACAGCUCUGGGGAACGAGGGACUCAGUCACACAGUUAUACAGUGGAAAAUGCCAAAGACAUUAAGGAAGGGAUCAUGUAAUAAAUGCUUGGGACUUUCAUCAUCUUUCUUUUCUAUCUAAUUUCCCUAAAAAUAAUCUUGCCUUUCUUGCUCCUUCCAGAAUAACAGGCUCUUCUUUUUAUGGAUUUAAUGAGUAGUUAAGACAUUCUGGUUACCUUUAGAGCACCACUUGUAUUAUUUAACCAGAGUUCAUUGUUACGGGAAAGCGCUCGAUCCCCUUUUCAAUCCCAUUUAAUUUCAUGAUUUUACAUCUGCUCAGCCCCUGCCUGCUGUCCUGAUAGUGGCUAACGGUUCAGUUGCCAGUGCUGCUUUAUUAAUGCUCUUCUCACCACUUCUAGUUUCCCUGCGGAUUUCCACCAGAGAAUCGCCAUUAUUAAACCUUAACUUCCAUCAGCAUAUUUUCACAAAUAAAACCAAUUAAAAACAAAAGUAAACUGACCUUGAGUUUAUUAAUUCCUUGUGUAUUCAUCUAGAGUGUAUUUGCUGUGGCUGUUUGUUCAGCCAAAGUAAAUUAUUUGCCUUCUUUGAAAUGACCAAGAUUCUAAACAAAUAAAUUAAACAUUGUUGGGAGACGGCAGAGAACAUUCAAUCAAGUUGACCUAACAAGUUGAGUUAGAAUUCACCAUAUAUGUGAACAGACGAUUGAAAACGGAAGUCUCAUUUCUUAGCCUCUCUCUUUAAACAGUUGUUUAAACUUUCUAAACUUCAGUUUCCUCUUAUGCAAAUGGGGAUUGAAAGGCCUACUUCAGAGUCUCAGUGCCAUAAUUGUUUUGAGAAUAUAAUAGAGUAAUAUCUGAGAAUGUGCUAAAAAAAAAAAUAGUGCCACUGAGUGUCCCUUAUUCUAUAAGAAUGCCUAUGUGUAACUUUUAAAGUUUUAUAAAAUUUAAAUAUUACUUCUUGUUGUUGUUUUUUAUAACUGGGUAACUGCCAAUAUUUUUGCUUUACUUUUUGGAGUGGAAAUCUCUGUACUGUUUCUUUUUGAAGUGGUUUCUACAAACGCAAAAGAACAAGUCUUGGCUGCCACCCAAGAGUGCCAUGGUGAUUUUCUCUGUGUUGCCAUGACCUCUGGCAUGUACUUAAAUAGGAAUUGAUUGCCCUUACUUUUGAUUAUAGCUAUUAGCAACUGGGGACAGGCUUGGUUAGAGAAUUUACACACAGGAGCAGCAGGGCCCUAGAGCGCCACAUCCUUCAGCCUGCCUGAGAAUGAGAAACUUGGUGUGGAGAAGCUGUGGCCACAGGUGUGUAAGCAACAGUGAAGAGAAAUAAUUGUAUCAGCUCAUGCUCGUGGCCGCAGGACAGCAGGCGCUUUGAGGAGACGUGCGGAAGUGUUCCCUGUGCGAGGUGCGAUAGUCAAAGUCAUUUUCCAAAUACGAAGGAAGCAGAGCAUUGAUUUCCAAACUCAGCUGCACAUUUGUACCCCUGGAGCUGGAGACAUGCAGUGCCCAUCCUCCUCAUCCUACUGUGAAUCAGGCCGCUCAGGGUGGAAACGGGCACCGGGAAUGCUCAAAGAUGCCCGGGUGUUCUUGACGCAGCAAGCUAGAACUCAGGCAUGUGCAGCUGUGGCCUCUGUUCCUUUACUAUCUAUUCUGCUUCAGACGUUACACAGUAGUAAGGGGUUGAUAAGUCUGUCUCUGAAAACAUUUUGAAAGCACAGUCAUUUUUCUCAAACAGAUGUGUGUGCUACAUUUUUUUAAGAGUAUAAACUGUUUCUGUUUUUGGUUUUGGUUGUGUUGUCUUAUGUUUCUAUGGAGUUUAAAUUUCACCACUUGUCCAAUUUUCUACAUAUUUAUAUUAUUUUUACCACUUAUCGCAGAUAUUUCCUUGAGCUUUAAACCUUUUGGAUUUAAGGCACAAAAUAAAGUCAUCUUUAUAGGUAUUUACUAGCUGUGAGUUUUGUUCAUUUGUUUGAAUUACAAGGAUAUUUUCAGAAUAAAUUAUUGAGAACCAA